AACGAACGCUGGCGGCAGGCCUAACACAUGCAAGUCGAGCGAGACCUUCGGGUCUAGUGGCGCACGGGCGAGUAACGCGUGGGAAUGUGCCCUUAUCUUCGGAAUAACUCUCGGAAACUGGUACUAAUACCGUAUACUCUCUUCGGACGAAAGAUUUAUCGCCUUUGGAUGGGCCCGCGUUGGAUUAGCUAGUUGGUGGGGUAAAGGCCUACCAAGCCGACGAUCCAUAGCUGGUCUGAGAGGAUGAUCAGCCACACUGGGACUGAGACACGGCCCAGACUCCUACGGGAGGCAGCAGUGGGGAAUAUUAGACAAUGGGGGAAAGCCUGAUCUAGCAAUGCCGCGUGAGUGAUGAAGGCCUUAGGGUUGUAAAGCUCUUUCAGCUGGGAAGAUAAUGACGGUACCAGCAGAAGAAGCCCCGGCUAACUCCGUG
rnacentral:rRNA from 1 species